UUUAAAGUCUAAUCUGCCCUAUGAGGAGUUAAAUGGCCGCGGUAUUUUGACCGUGCAAAGGUAGCAUAAUAAUUAGUUUUUUAAUUGAAAGCUGGAAUGAAUGAUUGGACGAGAAAAUGACUGUCUCAAUUUAAUUUUUUUAGAAUUUUAUUUUUAAGUAAGAAAGCUUAAAUUUUAUUAAAAGACGAGAAGACCCUAUAGAGUUUUAUAUUUAGUUAAUUUUUAGUUUUAUAGAAUUAUUUUAUUGAUAUUUAAUUAAAUAUUUUGUUGGGGUGAUAGAAAAAUUUUAUAAACUUUUUUUUAAUUUUAACAUUAAUUUAUGAUUUGAUGAUCCAUUAUUGUAUGAUUAUAAGAAUAAGUUACCUUAGGGAUAACAGCGUAAUUUUUUUUUAGAGUUCUUAUCGAAAAAAAAGAUUGCGACCUCGAUGUUGGAUUAAAAUUAAUAUUUGGUGUAGAAGCUAGAUAAUUGGGUCUGUUCGACCUUUAAAAUUUUACA
rnacentral:rRNA from 1 species